rnacentral:rRNA from 1 species
UACGGAGGGUGCAAGCGUUAUCCGGAUUCACUGGGUUUAAAGGGUGCGUAGGAGGACAGGUAAGUCAGUGGUGAAAUCUCCGAGCUUAACUUGGAAACUGCCGUUGAUACUAUCUGCCUUGAAUAUUGUGGAGGUGAGCGGAAUAUGUCAUGUAGCGGUGAAAUGCUUAGAUAUGACAUAGAACACCAAUUGCGAAGGCAGCUCGCUACACAUAUAUUGACUCUGAGGCACGAAAAGCGUGGGGGAUCAAACAGG